rnacentral:rRNA from 1 species
GAAUUUUGCGCAAUGGAGGCAACUCUGACGCAGCCAUGCCGCGUGAGUGAUGAAGGCCUUAGGGUUGUAAAGCUCUUUCACCGGUGAAGAUAAUGACGGUAACCGGAGAAGAAGCCCCGGCUAACUUCGUGCCAGCAGCCGCGGUAAUACGAAGGGGGCUAGCGUUGUUCGGAAUUACUGGGCGUAAAGCGCAUGUAGGCGGACAUUUAAGUCAGGGGUGAAAUCCCGGGGCUCAACCUCGGAACUGCCUUUGAUACUGGGUGUCUAGAGUGUGGAAGAGGUAAGUGGAAUUCCGAGUGUAGAGGUGAAAUUCGUAGAUAUUCGGAGGAACACCAGUGGCGAAGGCGGCUUACUGGUCCAUUACUGACGCUGAGGUGCGAAAGCGUGGGGAGCAAA